GAACAAAACAACCUCCGAGUGAUUUAAAUUUAGACUAACCGGUCAAAAGUAUUACAUCACUUAUUGAUCCAAAAGCUUGAUCAACGGAACA
rnacentral:rRNA from 1 species